AUUCCAGCUCCAAGAGCGUAUAUUAAAGUUGUUGCAGUUAAAAAGCUCGUAGUUGGAUUUCUGGUACAACGCGCCUGGCCCGCUUAUGUGAGUGCCGGUGCGCGUUUGCCAUCCUUCUAGAAAACGUUUCUACCCGGGCAACUGGGCCGGACUCGCGAUCUAGAUCUUUUACUUUGAAAAAAUUAGAGUGUUUAAAGCAGGCUUUUGCUGUGAAUACAUUAGCAUGGAAUAAUAAUCUAGGACUUCGGUUCUAUUUUGUUGGUUUCUAGUACUGAAGUAAUGAUUGAUAGGGAUAGUUGGGGGUGCUAGUAUUGGCCGGCCAGAGGUGAAAUUCUUGGAUUCGGUCAAGACUAACUUAUGCGAAAGCAUUCACCAAGGAUGUCUUCAUCA
rnacentral:rRNA from 1 species